AGUGAACGCUGGCGGUAGGCCUAACACAUGCAAGUCGAACGGCAGCACAGGAGAGCUUGCUCUCUGGGUGGCGAGUGGCGGACGGGUGAGGAAUACAUCGGAAUCUACUCUGUCGUGGGGGAUAACGUAGGGAAACUUACGCUAAUACCGCAUACGACCUACGGGUGAAAGCAGGGGAUCUUCGGACCUUGCGCGAUUGAAUGAGCCGAUGUCGGAUUAGCUAGUUGGCGGGGUAAAGGCCCACCAAGGCGACGGUCCGUAGCUGGUCUGAGAGGAUAAUCAGGCACACUGGAACUGAGACACGGUCCAGACGCCUACGGGAAGCAGCAGUGGGGAAUAUUGGACAAUGGGCGCAAGCCUGAUCCAGCCAUACCGCGUGGGUGAAGAAGGCCUUCGGGUUGUAAAGCCCUUUUGUUGGGAAAGAAAUCCAGCUGGCUAAUACCCGGUUGGGAUGACGGUACCCAAAGAAUAAGCACCGGCUAACUUCGUGCCAGCCGCCGCCGUAA
rnacentral:rRNA from 1 species